AAUUGUUUUCUAUUUUUCACUUUGAGAUCAGUAUAAUUACUUUACCGUUCAUUUUUUGAUUACAUUUUUGUUGAUGAUUUUCAGUUGAUUUUGGGCUUGCGAGAAAAGUGAAAAGAUUUCGGGCUUGUAAAGAACUGCAGGGAACGCCACACUACAUAGCGCCUGAAGUGUGGACAUGCAGCUCACAUAAUUUCAAGUGCGACAUAUGGGCUUUGGGAAUUACUGCCAUUGAGAUGGCCCAAGCAAGAUGUCCACUACUCCAUUUACAACGAGAAGCAGUUGGAGAACAAGUUGUUUUUGGAGAUCCUCCAACUCUGAGUCGACCAUACAGAUGGUAAGAUAACCACAUCCCAUUUGACUUUAGUCAUAAUCUGAAGGAGUGAUCCUGACCCCAUUGCAACCCUGGGGAGGCUCCGCCCUGCCUUUCCCCAUUCACCUUUUUAGCACCAGAGGGGGUCCAGGAGGGUUCUCUUCCCUAGUGCAGAGAGUGCUCUAGCAGAGCCUAAUUUCCACUUUGAAAACCAGACAUUCUGCUCUUAAAGUUAUAAGGAGCAUCUUAUAUUAUCUCUAAAUCAACACGCUUUUAUUUUUUUCCAGGUCUAAAGCUUUUAAUUCAUUUAUUGAGUUCUGUCUAACCAAGGAUCCCAAAGACAGACCAACGGCUAAAUUUCUGCUCCAAAACCAUCCCUUCAUAACAGAUAUACAGGAUGAAAUGCAAGCCAUAGCAGAAAUAAAGGACCUAGUCAGAAGACUGAAUG